rnacentral:rRNA from 1 species
UACGGGAGGCAGCAGUGGGGACUACUGCACACUGCAGUAAAGAAUAUUGCACAAUGGGCGAAAGCCUGAUGCAGCAACGCCGCUUGAGACGAUGAAGGCCCUCUGGAUCGUAAAGCUACUGUCCUUGGGGAAGAAACAAAUGCCGUCCCCUGGAAGCCGUCC